rnacentral:rRNA from 1 species
CCUGAGAAACCCAAAAGUUCGAAUGGAGAGAUUCAUCGUCAGCGAUCCUGGCAAUUGUGCGGUUCGCGAUGUCAGGGACUUCGGUCUCGUGAUACGCGUCCGUAUAAUUUAUUUGCCGGGUGUCGUCGUCGUGCACUUCUCCCCUAGUAGGACGUCGCGACCCGUUGGGUGUCGGUCUACGACCCGGGUGGGUGCCCGUCAUGUGUCACGCUUCACGGCGUCAUGUGGCAGACCCCCGGUUGUCUGACCAGCUGCCCGGCGGUACUCGCACGGUAUCGAGUCGCAAUUAUUUGAACUGCGUCCGGCCCGCCGCAAGCGAGGCCAGUGUUCCCGGAUGUACGGACUCAGGGCCGUCACCGGGCCUGGUGGCCAGCUGUUGGCCGGCGGUGUCCUGGGACUGGCUCUUGAAUAUAUACCGGUCGGCGACGCUACUGCUUUGGGUACUUUCAGGA